UACGAGUGGUUGGUUGCUGGUAGAGACGCUUCCACCUCCUACAUCCACUAUUUCCAAAGGUCUAAAAGAAGGUCAGUCGGAUUCUAAUGAGUGGUAUCUUCGGUUCAUGGUGCAGUAGAACGAUCAGCCUACCACCAGGGUCAUAAAACUACCCCUGGAAAUGCAUAAAACUCCUUAGAAAACCUUGUCAAAUGUGUGCUUGGGAAUAUGAACCAGUUUCUAAAGGUCAAAAAGGUCAGUCGGGUUCUAAUGAGUGUAUCUUAGGUUCACGGUGCAGAAGAAGGAUCAGCCUACCACCAGGGUCAUAAAAAUACCCCUGGAAAUGCAUAAAACUCCUCAGAAAGCCUUGUCAAAUGUGUGCUUGGGAAUAUGAACCAGUUUCUAAAGGUCUAAAAGGAGGUCAGUCGGGUUCUAAUGAGUGGUAUCUUCGGUUCACGGUGCAGAAAAACGAUCAGCCUACCACCAGGGUCAUAAAACUACCCCUGGAAAUGCAUAAAACUCCUCAGAAAGCCUUGUCAAAUGUGUGCUUGGGAAUAUGAACCUGUGUCUUGAAUCCUCCGUUCGAAGCUUCGCACCACUCGCUUCAACAGCCUCCCCCAGAUCGAGUGACUGUUAAAUUGUUGCCUUGUUUGUAUGUCAGCGUGAGUCCGCGUGACCAUGAUCCACUGAGACAUGUUCCUCUAGUUCUUGUUAGUCUUGUAUACUUAUAUAUAUAUCUAUGGACGUUUUGUUGAGUAUUUAUGACUUAUUAUUAUUUUAUUUUUUACAGCAGAGGAGACAGAGCAAGGGCGUAAAAAAAAAAGAAAACAAUAUGAAAAAAAAAAAAGCCCGCUACUUACCGCUCCUGAAGUGAAAUGGAAAUGUGUUAAAUCAAUGUGUGUGUGUGUGUGUGUGUGUGUGUGUGUGUGUGUGUGUGUGUCAUAUGAACAAGCUCCUCUUCUUGUCAUUUUAUUUAUCAGUUUACUUGACUUUUAUCUCCGUUGCAAAUCAUUCGUUUCCGGUUGGGUUUAAUGCGUCGUUGAGUAGCAUUAUGUGGUUGGGUUCAUCGUGUUACUUAGACGUUCUUUAUUCGGUCUGCAAGUAAUUGAACCUGACUAUCGAAAAAAAGAAACAGCAUCUGGAAAAAAAAUAUCUACUUGAGAGAGGUCAAUGUAUCACUGGACACUUGCCGUAAUGCUAAUAGUAGUAGUAAUAGUAAUAGUAAAAGUAGUAGUAGUAUUGUAAUGCGGGGAAAACCAGGUAUUUCCCCGCAUUACAGUAGUAGUAGUAGUAGUAGUAGUAGUAGUAGUAGCCAUAUGUUCAGAUGUUUGUAUAUUUAUGAGGUUAUCCGUUUUCUUGCAGUCCAGUAAUUUUUCACAUAACAUAUAUAAUUCUAUACUGUGUUUGUCUAUACUUUUGACACACAGCAUUGAUUUGGUAGACUAUUUCCUUGAUCGGUUUCUUAGUUUCAAAGCUUAAUUUAUUGAUCUGUGUGUGUGUGUGUGUGUGUGUGUGUGUGUGUCCCUCAUAGUGGCAUGUAAUAUCAUAAUCAGUGUUAUAACAAAUUUUUCUUCUGCAUCAUUUAGUUAGCGCAAAGCUUAAGCUUCAUUCAAGUGUGUUUUGUCAUGCCCUUCUAUCUGAUGGCAUAAUUGUAUAGAGUGGACUGGCCUUCAAAUGCUAUACUUCCGCAAACUUUGGUGGGUCUUUCUGGUGCUUUCAGUAUCAUGAAUGUCUUUCUAUCACCAUGAGUUCUACAAUGCUUGAUGAUGAGUUAGUAGACAAAACCCAUAAGGUAUUCUGUAUAUAACUUCCUGCCUUGUAACCAAGCACGUGAUGUGUUGGUCCAGAUAUCUGGCAGAGUAAAGACUUGGUCACCAUGAGCACUGCAACACUUGAUGGUGAGUUUAGUAAAUAAAAUCCACGAUGUAUUCAAUAUAAAACAUCUUGCGUAGCUACAUAUAAAACCUAUUAGCAUUCAUGAUCCAUACAAACUUGCAUGUCUACUGUAUCAUGUAAUCUAUAUAUAGAUACAAAUACAAAUUGUAUUGUGCUGUACAAUUUUGAUUCCCUUAACCAUUCUGAACAUUCCUUAAGAGUAAUAAUAAUAAUGAUAAUAACAAUAAUAAUAAUAAAGAUAAUAAUGAUAAUGAUAAUAAUAAUCAUAACAAUAAUAUAUGCACUACAUUAAUCUGUCACAACAUAUAAAAAAUACUGAUACUUUUCAGUUUGAUACAAAUCAAUGCACCUCAUCACUAUAGACACAUGUUCAGAAAUUGCAUAUAAUAACCAUCUAACAGGACACCAUUCCUCGACUCCGCCAUAAUUUUGAAGCAGACUCCUGCCAACCAUCGCUGAGCAUGAACAGCUUGCUAGAAAUACCCAGACAGUUACAGACCAAUGGCAUAUUUACAACUAUUGAGAAUAUAUUUUGUGCCUGCAGUGUUCUCAAAUAGUUAAUCAAUCAACAGUUAAUCAUUUUGCCUGGGUCCACCACUCAGCAGGUAAUACCCAGGUGUGAUUUACCACUCUUAAGUAAGUUUUGCCAAAGUGUUUCUGUGACAACUAACGUUUUGUGCCAGAAACAUUCCCAAGACUCCCUCAAGGUCCUCCCCUCCACCACAACCCAGCGCACAAUAGCAGGUAAUACUCAGGUGUGAUUUACCACUCUCAGGUGAGCUUUGCCAAAGUGUUUCAGUCCCUCUGCAGAAACCUGAACCAAAAUCCAAGGAUAUGCUUUUAUCAUACUGAAGGUCCCUGCCCCUACUCUGCCUCAGUGGGGGGAGAGCCCAGUCACAUGUUUUGGCAACUAUUAGUGUCAAUUUGAUAUGAAAGAAAUUGCAAAUAGAGACUGGAGUUUAGCUGUACUGUUUCCCUUGCUUCAGUGGGAGGUCAGCUUACAGUCAUAUGUCAUGACAAUUACCAGUGGAAGGAUGGCAAGACAAAAAAAAUAUGCAUCAAUAUAUGCACAUUUGAGGGAUGAAAUAUUUGUUAGAUUCAACAAGUGAAGUGUGGCAGAGCUGUUCAACAGAUUCUAAUUAAGUACAGUUUUUGUUUGGUCAUUGUGUGCUACUUUUAUGACCUUUUCAAGAGAGAAGAGUAAGCCUGGCUCAACACAAGGCCCGGCACUGAGGGAAGGGAAAACCUCCACCGAAUGUCUUCCACAGACCCUUUCUUAUUACAAAAUAAAAUGUCAAGCCACAUCAUGCACACCCCUUUGAUGAAGGGACAAGCUGCCUUGAUGAAUGACGUGCAAAGAGGAGCAUAUAAAAAUAUAUUGGCAUUUGUUGUUGACUGUCUGUUAUAUAAGUAUACAAGUGUUGAGGGUCCCACUACAAGGGAGUCGGGACUUGAAUGUUCUCUCCUCUGGUUCAGUGUAAUUUCCUAAGACAGACGGCCUGCCGGACAGAGUGAGUCACAGCACUAGGACUGUCAGCCUAACAGUGUGAGGUGCAGCAUGUACACACACUUCCCAAGGCAGAAACAUUCUUCUAAUCAUUUCUGCACUGUUUUUCUCAUACCAAAAGCUGUAAGAUAUUACAACAUGCCUUUUCAUAAAAUACAGUUUUGUCUUAAGAAGCAAACACAGUAAGAUUUUUUUUUCCUCACAGCCACUAAUUUAACACUAGCACUGAACUGACUAUGUGUUCCUUCCCCUUCAUAACAGGCAAUAUAUUUCAUAAAUUCUUUAACUGCCUUUUUUAGAUAUCUUGUUUCAGCUUUAAUAUUCUGUUUUAGCUGAUGGCAAUAAUUUUGAUUCGCAAUUUAUUUCCUGACAUCUUCACCAUAAUUUUGACGACUGGUCUUACUGCAAGUUGAGGGCGGCAGCGGCCGCCACACGGCACCAACCCUGGAGCCGCCACUCACUGAGCCCUGGAGGGUGCUCGGCCUCAAGUCUUGGAACACGGUGGGCUGUGUUUACUUUGAACAAAUCUUACAUUCCUAAAAAAAUAUCACUAAAUUUAUUCAGAAAAUAUCUGAAUGAAUUAUUUUUAAAUUAAUUUAACCUUGGUGUUUAUGUUUGAAGAAUACAAACAGUUACUUUAGGAAAAAAAAUGCAUUACUGCACAGCAAAGCACAACUUUGUACAACAUGACCUCAGUCACCAAGGUGUGCUAAGAGAGGCUGUGCUGCUGCCUGCAGUCAUGAGCAACGGCUCCUCAGCCCAGCACGGCUCCCCUCAAGCCAUCAUGACCUUCACUGACAAUUUUGGUGCAUUUUCUGCCUGUCUCUGCUUGCUGCCAGGUCUGGCAGCUGCCCUGCAGCACACACACACACACACACACACACACACACACA